rnacentral:rRNA from 1 species
AGGGAAUCUUGCGCAAUGGGCGAAAGCCUGACGCAGCAACGCCGCGUGGGGGAAGAAGGCUCUAGGGUCGUAAACCCCUUUCAGCAGGGACGAAAAUGACGGUACCUGCAGAAGAAGCGCCGGCCAACUACGUGCCAGCAGCCGCGGUAAUACGUAGGGCGCAAGCGUUGUCCGGAUUUAUUGGGCGUAAAGGGCUCGUAGGCGGUUUGGUAAGUCGGGUGUGAAAACUCAGGGCUCAACUCUGAGACGCCACUCGAUACUGCCAUGACUAGAGUCCGGUAGGGGAGUGCGGAAUUCCUGGUGUAGCGGUGAAAUGCGCAGAUAUCAGGAGGAACACCAACAGCGAAGGCAGCACUCUGGGCCGGUACUGACGCUGAGGAGCGAAAGCGUGGGGAGCAAACAGG